CAGUAGCCGCGGUAAAACGUAGGUGGCAAGCGUUGUCCGGAAUUAUUGGGCGUAAAGGGCUCGCAGGCGGUUUCUUAAGUCUGAUGUGAAAGCCCCCGGCUCAACCGGGGAGGGUCAUUGGAAACUGGGAAACUUGAGUGCAGAAGAGGAGAGUGGAAUUCCACGUGUAGCGGUGAAAUGCGUAGAGAUGUGGAGGAACACCAGUGGCGAAGGCGACUCUCUGGUCUGUAACUGAGGCUGAGGAGCGAAAGCGUGGGGAGCGAACAGGAUUAGAUACCCCCGUAGUCCCUGUCUCUUAUAC
rnacentral:rRNA from 1 species